CUCAGUUCGGACUGGAGUCUGCAACCCGACUCCACGAAGCUGGAUUCGCUAGUAAUCGCGCAUCAGCCACGGCGCGGUGAAUACGUUCCCGGGCCUUGUACACACCGCCCGUCAAGCCAUGGGAGCCGGGGGUACCUGAAGUGCGUAACCGCGAGGAUCGCCCUAGGGUAAAACUGGUGACUGGGGCUAAGUCGUAACAAGGUACC
rnacentral:rRNA from 1 species